ensembl:lncRNA
UUUUUCUUUUUUUUUUUUUUUUUUUUUUUUUUUGAGACGGAGUCUCUCGCUCUGUCGCCCAGGCUGGAGUGCAGUGGCCGGAUCUCCGCUCACUGCAAGCUCCGCCUCCCGGGUUCACGCCAUUCUCCGGCCUCAGCCUCCUGAGUAGCUGGGACUACAGGCGCCCGCCACCUCGCCCGGCUAGUUUUUUGUUCCCAUUUCUUAGUAGAGACGGGGUUUCACCGUGUUAGCCAGGAUGGUCUCGAUCUCCUGACCUCGUGAUCCACCCGUCUCGGCCUCCCAAAGUGCUGGGAUUACAGGCUUGAGCCACCGCGCCCGGCCCCCAAGAAAUUUUUCAAGAUAUUUUUGUAAAGUUCAAUAUACAAAGAUGAAAUUCAACCUUGUGAAUAUGUCAUUGUAUAAGAAAUUUCUUACUUAUUUUUUCAUUCUGUGCACAAGAAUCUUUAAUAUUCAGAAAGAAAACACACAUUUUAAAUCUAGUCCUUAAUUCUUUUAGUUACUUUGGUUAGAUCAUGAUAUCUGUUUUGCAUUUUUUUCUGCUUUACUUGACUUUAUUCCAUUUUACAGUUUUAUAGUGUUCUUGAUUCUCUUCAUCUGUUCUGACAUUGAUUAUUUUCUUUGUAUUUGGACAUUUAUUAAGAGUUACUAAAAACUAAACAAUUAACAUUUUAGUUUACGUGUGCUAAUGUAAAAUUAUUCAAUCCUUUUUAAAUAAUUGUCAAAAUGAUUCCUGCCAGUUAUCUCUAUGGCUGGGUCCGCAAAAUAAUAAUGUUAUUUAACCAAGCAUAUAUAUUUGUUUUCUCUUUCUCCUAUUAUGUUAUUAAAAUAACCAUAGACGUGUCCAAAAGCAAUAAAACAAAAACUACGAUUAGAGCAUAGGGUUUCAUAGCAGAUGAGAAUUGAAUGCGUUCCUGAAGAAGGAAAAACAGUGGAAACAUUGUAAAAUUAAACAUGUCAAGUUAGUUAAAAUUCCAAAGAUGUGUGGGAGAGUUACAGCUGAGGAGAUGGCUAAUCUGACAGAUGUAAUAAUUUUUUUGUUUUUGAGACAGAGUCUCUCUCUGUUGCUCAGGCUAAAGCUCAGUGGUGCGAUCAUGACCCACUGCAACCUCUGCCUCCUGGGUCAAGUGAUUCUCCUGCCUCAGUCUCCCAAGUAACUGGGAUUACAGGCAGGUUCCACCAUGCCUGGCUAAUUUUUGUAUUUUUAGUAGAGAUGGGGUUUCACCAUGUUGGCCAGGCAGGUCUUGAACUCCUGACCUUAAGUGAUCCAACUGCCUUGGCCUUCCAAUGUGCUGGGAUUGCAGGCAUGAGCCACCAUGUCCAGUGAUAUGUGUAAUCUUUUAGAGGCCCCAGGAUCAAGGUCUACAUAAAUCAAAUCCUUGACUGAAGAGAGAUGGCUAAAGUCCAGAGAGAGUGAAUUUGGGUUGCCAGGGCAGGGGUGUGGUUGGUGGAAGCUGGUGAGAGAAAAAGGGUGUCUGGUACUAGGAAAUAGAGUUCCUUUUCAAUUUAACAGUCGGGGCCUCUUAGUCUAGUAGCCACCUUACCUCUUGACUAUACAAAACCAAAUCUUGCUAGUCAACCCACCUC